AAACCAGCUUAACACAUCAUUAGCAGACCUUAAACAGCUGAUAUUUAAGUCUCAUUUUCUGGAUUGCAACCCUAGUUUUUGACAGCCACCAAACAGAAAAACACAUACUCUCCUUCUUGCGUUUUGGCCUGUUAGCAAAAUUCUGCAAAACCCUUGAAGAAACUCGAGUAACCUUCAUUCCUUCAUCAUCCAAACCACA
rnacentral:lncRNA from 1 species